GAUGAACGCUGGCGGCGUGCCUAAUACAUGCAAGUCGAGCGAACGGACGAGAAGCUUGCUUCUCUGAUGUUAGCGGCGGACGGGUGAGUAACACGUGGAUAACCUACCUAUAAGACUGGGAUAACUUCGGGAAACCGGAGCUAAUACCGGAUAAUAUUUUGAACCGCAUGGUUCAAAAGUGAAAGACGGUCUUGCUGUCACUUAUAGAUGGAUCCGCGCUGCAUUAGCUAGUUGGUAAGGUAACGGCUUACCAAGGCAACGAUGCAUAGCCGACCUGAGAGGGUGAUCGGCCACACUGGAACUGAGACACGGUCCAGACUCCUACGGGAGGCAGCAGUAGGGAAUCUUCCGCAAUGGGCGAAAGCCUGACGGAGCAACGCCGCGUGAGUGAUGAAGGUCUUCGGAUCGUAAAACUCUAUUAUUAGGGAAGAACAUAUGUGUAAGUAACUGUGCACAUCUUGACGGUACCUAAUCAGAAAGCCACGGCUAACUACGUGCCAGCAGCCGCGGUAAUACGUAGGUGGCAAGCGUUAUCCGGAAUUAUUGGGCGUAAAGCGCGCGCAGGCGGUUUUUUAAGUCUGAUGUGAAAGCCCACGGCUCAACCGUGGAGGGUCAUUGGAAACUGGAAAACUUGAGUGCAGAAGAGGAAAGUGGAAUUCCAUGUGUAGCGGUGAAAUGCGCAGAGAUAUGGAGGAACACCAGUGGCGAAGGCGACUUUCUGGUCUGUAACUGACGCUGAUGUGCGAAAGCGUGGGGAUCAAACAGGAUUAGAUACCCUGGUAGUCCACGCCGUAAACGAUGAGUGCUAAGUGUUAGGGGGUUUCCGCCCCUUAGUGCUGCAGCUAACGCAUUAAGCACUCCGCCUGGGGAGUACGACCGCAAGGUUGAAACUCAAAGGAAUUGACGGGGACCCGCACAAGCGGUGGAGCAUGUGGUUUAAUUCGAAGCAACGCGAAGAACCUUACCAAAUCUUGACAUCCUUUGACAACUCUAGAGAUAGAGCCUUCCCCUUCGGGGGACAAAGUGACAGGUGGUGCAUGGUUGUCGUCAGCUCGUGUCGUGAGAUGUUGGGUUAAGUCCCGCAACGAGCGCAACCCUUAAGCUUAGUUGCCAUCAUUAAGUUGGGCACUCUAAGUUGACUGCCGGUGACAAACCGGAGGAAGGUGGGGAUGACGUCAAAUCAUCAUGCCCCUUAUGAUUUGGGCUACACACGUGCUACAAUGGACAAUACAAAGGGCAGCGAAACCGCGAGGUCAAGCAAAUCCCAUAAAGUUGUUCUCAGUUCGGAUUGUAGUCUGCAACUCGACUACAUGAAGCUGGAAUCGCUAGUAAUCGUAGAUCAGCAUGCUACGGUGAAUACGUUCCCGGGUCU
rnacentral:rRNA from 1 species